rnacentral:rRNA from 1 species
GGAUGGAAUUCUAUAUAACCUAGUGGCGGACGGGUGAGUAACACGUGAGCAACCUGCCUAUCAGAGGGGGAUAACGAUUGGAAACGAUCGCUAAUACCGCAUGACAUAGCGAAGAGGCAUCUUUUUGCUAUCAAAGAUUUAUCGCUGAUAGAUGGGCUCGCGUCCGAUUAGAUAGUUGGUGAGGUAACGGCUCACCAAGUCGACGAUCGGUAGCCGGACUGAGAGGUCGAACGGCCACAUUGGGACUGAGACACGGCCCAGACUCCUACGGGAGGCAGCAGUGGGGGAUAUUGCACAAUGGGGGAAACCCUGAUGCAGCGACGCCGCGUGAGGGAAGACGGUCCUCUGGAUUGUAAACCUCUGUCUUCGGGGACGAAACGAGACGGUACCCGAGGAGGAAGCCACGGCUAACUACGUGCCAGCAGCCGCGGUAAUACGUAGGUGGCAAGCGUUGUCCGGAAUUACUGGGUGUAAAGGGAGCGUAGGCGGGCAGGCAAGUCGGGCGUGAAAUAUAUCGGCUCAACCGGUAUCUGCGCUUGAAACUGCAGGUCUUGAGUGAAGUAGAGGUUGGCGGAAUUCCUAGUGUAGCGGUGAAAUGCGUAGAUAUUAGGAGGAACACCAGUGGCGAAGGCGGCCAACUGGGCUUUUACUGACGCUGAGGCUCGAAAGUGUGGGGAGCAAACAGGAUUAGAUACCCUGGUAGUCCACACCGUAAACGAUGAUUACUAGGUGUGGGGGGACUGACCCCUUCCGUGCCGGAGUUAACACAAUAAGUAAUCCACCUGGGGAG